rnacentral:lncRNA from 1 species
UUCAUGCCUAAACGAGUGGGAAUGUUGAAAGAUAAACUGUUUUCAUUGCUGUUUGUUUGGUCUGAAUCAUCUGGGAAACAUGCUAAUUCUACUUUUUCCCCAGCUAUUACCCCUGUAUGCACACAAGUUGAACCUAACGGCAUUAAAAGAAAAGGACAAGCUGUGAAAUGCCUAGAUUCCAGAGCAACAGACUGUGAUCCAUUCCCAACAACCCCUCCCUACCGUCUGCCACCAGUUCCCUUAAAGCAGGAAUCAGAGCUAGACUGACUCAACUAAGUGGAAAAUAUGUAUUGCCUAGGAAUUUGAAUUCUGACAGAAAUGUUGAGGAGAGGAGUAAAUCAUAUUAAAGGCAAGAAGCUUGACAUAGCAUCGAUGAGCCCAAGUCAACUAUAUGAACAAAACAAUGUCUCAGGAGGGGCAGGGUAUCACGUCAGAAGAAUCCUGAGUCCUUAGAUGACCUUGUAGAAAAGAGCCACAAACUUACUCUGGGCUACCUUCAUACCUCUGAACUAUUAUGCAGAGAGAAAUAAAUGUAUUCAAAU